rnacentral:lncRNA from 1 species
GAUAGUGAUGAUUUGGCGAGCAUGAAGUGAGGCCAAGUUCCAGGUGUGAAUAACGGCCGUUGAUAGGAUAACAUCGGCGGCGGCGGAACGAACGGCGGUGAUUUCAGGAUCGAUGCAUUUGACAACGAUCCAUUCAUCCUCUGAACUCGAGGCCAUGUUAGAACAACUACGCAAUGAGUAGACUCACCGGUCAAUUUAAUGGAGUUUUAAGACUUGUGCGACACUAAUUUCUACCGUCGCAGCAUCUCCCUACUGUACUUUACGACAAUAGUAGUAUAUGGAAAAUUCGAAGUUUAUUGGUGGCCCGUGUGUAUUUUGGGGAGAUUUAUUUCACCGCAAAUCAUGUAUCUAACGGUAACAAAUUUCUAUCAGGUUUAGUUCGUUUUGUGGAAGGUUAAAAUGAAUAUUUGUCAUUUUUCUGUUUGAAUAUUUUAUUUAUUCUAACGGUAAAACGUUAGAUAUGAUAAAAAUUUAAAAUUCUUUAUAUCAAAUAAUAAUUAUAAUAUAAUAAAUUUAAUAAACUAUCUCAACAUAUGUAUGUUGUGAUAACACAUUUAAAGGAAUAGAAAUAUUUGAAGAAUAUAUUUAUUAUGAAAUAUAAAAUAAUUUAAUAGAAGCUUAUAUCCUUUUCAAGAAUCGUUAAAAGAAGUAAAACAUUUUAGACUAUUAUAACUUACGUCUCAUGUAUAAUUGUUUGUAAGAUACAUUGUUACGUGCUAUUGAUAUUUUAAACAAGCGUUGUUGUGAUUUUUGAAAUGUAUCUUGGACCAGUAAAAACAAGUAUACAUAUUAAGAUUUAAUAUAUAAUUAUAAAAACAAGUAUACAUAUUAAGAUUUAAUAUAUAAUUAUACUCCCCAAAUUAAACGAUUUAAGUGCCUCUUAAUUUGAAUAUCAUCCAGAAAUUCAAAAUGUUUAUUUUACAAGUGGUGCCAAAACCAUGGAUAACAACAGUAUUUCAGCAACAUUGAUUUUCCAGAUCAUAGACGAGACCAGCUCAUCCUCUCACCCAAAUUUACAUUAUAAGCCUAAGACUAAUAACUAGUAUUACACUAGCACCGUAAGAAGUGAUGAUUAUUGCUAGAACGACUCAAAGUUCUCUAACUCCAGAUUCUCACCUGUAGCUCCAAGUUGAUUAGCCCCCUUUCCGGCACGAAGAAUUUUCGGAAGUGACUCAUAAGGCUCUGGUACUUCAGGCGGAACUGCACAUCGAAUCAACGCCCAGUUAAGGCCUUCAAAGAAGGGGUGCUGCUUGAUUUCAGCAGCACCUCUUGAAUAUCCCAAACGGUAUUCAGGUUCCUUCACCAAUAGCCCUCUGAUGAGAUCCCUUGCCUGAAAACUCACAAUAGGGGUGUCUGGAAAUUGCAGGUUCUGCAAUACCACAUUUGCUAAUGUUUCUUCAUUUCCUAUGCCUUUAAAGGGUGUCUUCCCAUACAGAAGCUCGUAAAGAAAUACGCCAAACGUCCACCAAUCAACAGCGCUUCCAUGACCUUCUCCUUUGAUAAUCUCUGGAGCAAGAUAUUCAUGUGUACCAACAAAAGAAUUNGAUGCCUGUUGCGAUGAGCUUUGAUAGUGAUGAUUUGGCGAGCAUGAAGUGAGGCCAAGUUCCAGGUGUGAAUAACGGCCGUUGAUAGGAUAACAUCGGCGGCGGCGGAACGAACGGCGGUGAUUUCAGGAUCGAUGCAUUUGACAACGAUCCAUUCAUCCUCUGAACUCGAGGCCAUGUUAGAACAACUACGCAAUGAGUAGACUCACCGGUCAAUUUAAUGGAGUUUUAAGACUUGUGCGACACUAAUUUCUACCGUCGCAGCAUCUCCCUACUGUACUUUACGACAAUAGUAGUAUAUGGAA